ensembl:lncRNA
UUUUUGAAUUAAAAGCACUUUCAAACUUUAAAACAUCCUACUUUUCCUCACACAAGAAAUAUAUUUCACACUCCUUUAUUCCAUACACACCUUUAAAAGUUCUAACCUCUUUAGUCAUUCAGUAAUCGUCUCACACACUGCCUUUUCUCUCUCAAACUGCCAUUUUCCACUCACUCAGACAAAUCAUGCAGAGUCACUCAAAUCAAAUACUGACAGCAUUCACACAGUUAAAAUCACGCAAAAUACGCUUUCAUACGAGUAUUUUGGACAUGCCUUCCAUGAUCAGAAAGAGCAAGUCAAAAGAAAAAAGAAAAAGAAAACUGAAACCUCUCAUCGUCUCACACCCCGCUUCUCCCCACACACACAUAACUGAAAAUAAAACACACCAACCUUUAUGGCUCACGAAAUAUACAUCUAUCAAAAUUCAGUCAUUUACUAUACAUCCACACUAAUAUAUUCACACUGUAUUUACACUCUCAUAAUAAGCAAAACCAACCUCUUAUAUACAGGCAUUUAGCAAAAAGCUCAAUUCUGUCGAAGCUGAAACCACCCUCUCUGCGCGUCCCCGCUGCUCAUUUGCAUUUACACACACCAUCAGUGCACAUCCGGUAGUGCACUGGUGGUGCAGAGACGGAUCUCCCACAUAGAUCUCAUAUUAUUAUAUUUACACAAGACGUCUUUAUAUUUACACUGCACAGAUUUUUUAGGCCUUGUCGCUCCUACAAAUUUCGACAAAUUUAUCCAUAACGGUCCAACCGAUAAAAGUCCCUGACUUUUUUGCGACCAAUUUUAGCCAGUAUUCCGUCCCUGACGGUGGCCCGAUUGCUAAUGCCCUAACCAAAUUUAUCGUAGCCAAAAAAGCGCAAAUAGGAGACUCUAACUCCUAGCAGUUUCAGAGGUUCCCAAGUUCUCUCCCGCUGUCGACGGUACUAUCCCUACUGUCCUAGUAGGUCUAAGAUCAGCGUCCUGUCUUAGCGCAAGCGUUACCAAGGAGAAAAUGCGCUUCUUAAGGGUCCCAGACUCCUCGUCCUCAAGUAAUUUUAGAAUAAUUUGAAACAACAAUCUACACCCAAAACAGGAUUAAGAUUAAGGACAACCCUCAACAGUUUUGGAGAUUCCCGAGUCCUCCUCGAAUGUUGCCCGAAACUAUCCCUAGUCAUCGCUAGGUGAAGGAUAAAUUUCUCUAUCCAGCAGGGAGCGUCACCUCCGAGAAAGUUCUUAAGGGUUGCAUAACCAAUGGGACUUGAACCCACACAAUGACCAAAUUCCCUAUCAUUCUAAAAGUUCACUUCGCAGUCCAACUGCUUUAAUUCUCUUUUCAUUCCUUUAUUCUCAUUACUCAGUACUGUCACUUAUACUUCCUUAUCAUUAUCAUUACUUCAACCUUCAACUUUUCACCAAAAUCAAAGCAGACAUCUACCAGUAGUUUCAGUGAGUAGACUUUCAAUUUACACAGCCCAAUUUGACACACUUUGGUUCAUAAGAUCAACAGGUGGUGCCUACCUUUUGUUAUAUGCCGGCUUGUCACUCACUUUGACCACUGACCAAUGCCUGAGCGCCUGACGCCUCGGACCUUUCUCCAUCCUGUCUCACUUCCCCCCUCGGACGAAGCCCCCAAAUGUUAAGGUUCAAAAAUAUAGGGAAGGAAACACAGGAGGAAUGCAAGUAACCACACUGGUCCAAAGGGUAAAGACGAUGAUUUUAAUGAAAUGACACGCGUGGGAGAAUGAGCGGACUCCGUAAGCAGACAGCCCCACAAUCUCAUCCUCCUAACAUCAAAAUACAGUUUUAUAUGCAUCAGAGUAUAUUUAGUGACGCCCCCUCAUUGCGUCAUCACAUACAUCAGCUUCAAAACCACAAAUGUUCUAUUUGACAGCUUAAGGCACAAUUAAAAGUACACUGGCUUCCAUCUUCUCCCCGGUGGUUUCCCGUAAGCCAGCUCAGCUCUCGCAUCGUGCAUCUACUGCUUCAUCAGUCAACUCUCACCUACACCCUAACAGUGUGUGUGUAUGUCUCUGCGCGUGCACAGAGUGUGCAUCUGCUUUCUGAACCUUAGUUGACCUCACGUAGGCAACCAGGCUAAGGCCAUCCUGUGUUGUGAUGAUCUUAACUUCUAUGUAAAAUGUAUAAAACAAAUAUUUCAAUCUACUACAACUACUUAAAACUUAAUCAAAGCUUAAUCAGACGUAUAAAUGCAUAAAAGAUGAUAAUAGCAUCAUCAAAACUCUGGUUUUGGUUUCACUUUUGCAAAAGCACACCGUUUCCUGUCAGCCUGCAAUCAGCUUCUCCCCCACUGAAGACUAUGUGUAAGAAUAUAAAACAUUCAGAAACCUUUAAAUUAUAGAUUCAACUGAUUAUAACUGAACCUGUAAUAAAGACUAAUAUAAUACCAAUAUAUUUUGAACAUCUGAGUGCAUCUGAAUGCAACAUCCCUAUUAACAUGAAAUGUUAAUGAUGAUUAUAAAAUAGCAGCAACUAAUAGCAGGACAAUAUUUCUAUUCCUGACACAACUGC